GCCGACCCGAGGGGCCAAAUCCGGUUCCUCCCCACCCCACCCCACCAACCUUCCCCACUCCCAGUCACCCCCUCGGCUCUGCGGACAGGACUCUAAUACUAACAGUGGGAAGUUUUCCCCUGGUGACAAAAAGACAGAGAGAUCACCAGAAAAGGCCACUGAGGUCUGCUGGAAGACACACUGGCUCACCAGGGGAGGCUACCUGGACUCAAGGGCCUGCCGACAAGGUGCCGCCCCAUCACUGAAUCCUUUGAUGAAGCCAAUUUGAUCUCCAAAUUUAUUCAGCCUCUUUUCAGCUAUUUUCUUAGAGAGCUGGAGUGCUGGGAACUCAGGCAGGUGAGAAGGAGCCCUGGGAGUCUGCCUGUCUCAGGUGAAGCCCUACCGCCCCAGGAGCCCACUCAGGUCAACCUGGGAAAGCCGGUGACCCCAUUCAGGCGCCUCCUGUCUCAAUUACGUGCUGUCUAUGAAGAGGAAUUGAUUUCCUGCUCAAGAGUUUUACUGUUUGGUCUCACUGGCGUCAUUGUUUCUGGAUUGCACUGUUUAUAGAGGAGGGGGAGCACAGGGAUGUGAAGGCUCUGAUGAAAGGCUGGGUGGGGGGGCAGCAGCAGCUCGCCAGCCACACCUCGCUUAUUAAGUGGCCUUGGCCAGGUCACAGUUCCCUUUUCCAAGGUACAGUCCUCUGUGACUGACACAGGUGAUGGGGGAAAUUGUCACUGCCUUGCUUUCCUCACGAGGAUCCCUGUGAGCAUCAGCUGAGGCAACAAAUGUCCAAUGCUGCACCAACAGGCAGAAUCAUGUCUGCUCUUCACCACAUGUUAUGCAUAUGACCAACAGGACCGGCCAAGAACCCUGAAGCUCGGAGACUCUUAGGUCAAAAGUAUAGUUCCGUGUAUUUUUUUAAAAGAUUUAUUUAUUUGUGCAUAUAGAACUG